CCUACGGGUGGCAGCAGUGGGGAAUAUUGGGCAAUGGGCGCAAGCCUGACCCAGCAACGCCGCGUGAAGGAAGAAGGCUUUCGGGUUGUAAACCUCUUUUCUCAGGGACGAAGAAAGUGACGGUACCUGAGGAAUAAGCCACGGCUAACUACGUGCCAGCAGCCGCGGUAAUACGUAGGGGGCAAGCGUUAUACGGAUUUACUGGGUGUAAAGGGCGUGUAGGCGGGACUGCAAGUCAGAUGUGAAAACCACGGGCUGAACCUGUGGCCUGCGUUUGAAACUGUAGUUCUUGAGUGCUGGAGAGGCAGACGGAAUUCCUAGUGUAGCGGUGAAAUGCGUAGAUAUUAGGAGGAACACCAGUGGCGAAGGCGGUCUGCUGGACAGCAACUGACGCUGAGGCGCGAAAGCGUGGGGAGCAAACAGGAUUAGAUACCCGUGUAGUC
rnacentral:rRNA from 1 species